rnacentral:tRNA from 1 species
UAUAUUAUGGUGUAUUUGAUGCACUUUAAUUUUUGAUAUUAAUGGAUUUAGUUUAAUUCUAAGUGAUAUAA